ACGGCUCAGUAACACGUGGCCAAACUACCCUAUGGACCCAGACAACCCCGGGAAACUGAGGCUAAUCUGGGAUACGAUUCUCCCGCUGGAACUGCAGAGAAUCCGAAACGCCCCGGCGCCAUAGGAUGUGGCUGCGGCCGAUUAGGUAGACGGUGGGGUAACGGCCCACCGUGCCGAUAAUCGGUACGGGUUGUGAGAGCAAGAGCCCGGAGACGGUAUCUGAGACAAGAUACCGGGCCCUACGGGGCGCAGCAGGCGCGAAACCUUUACACUGCACGCCAGUGCGAUAAGGGGACUCCGAGUGCGAGGGCAUAUAGUCCUCGCUUUUCACCACCGUAAGGUGGUGGUGGAAUAAGUGCUGGGCAAGACCGGUGCCAGCCGCCGCGGUAAUACCGGCAGCACGAGUGAUGACCGCUAUUAUUGGGCCUAAAGCGUCCGUAGCUGGCCGCGCAAGUCUAUCGGGAAAUCUGCUCGCCUAACGAGCAGGCGUCCGGUGGAAACUGUGUGGCUUGGGACCGGAAGACCAGAGGGGUACGUCCGGGGUAGGAGUGAAAUCCCGUAAUCCUGGACGGACCACCGGUGGCGAAAGCGCCUCUGGAGGACGGAUCCGACGGUGAGGGACGAAAGCUCGGGUCACGAACCGGAUUAGAUACCCGGGUAGUCCGAGCUGUAAACGAUGUCUGCUAGAUGUGACACAGGCUACGAGCCUGUGUUGUGUCGUAGGGAAGCCGAGAAGCAGACCGCCUGGGAAGUACGUCCGCAAGGAUGAAACUUAAAGGAAUUGGCGGGGGAGCAC
rnacentral:rRNA from 1 species